ACAAGCAGUUAGCAUGGAUUCCCCUUGCACACUGAUUGGCUCCUACCAUUUGUUGUUGUGGGAAAGAGAGAACCUGAGAGACAGAAGUUCAUAUAGAGAGGAGGGUGGACAGCCAAGCCCAGGUUGACUUCCUAGUUCAAAAGGUGCUGUCUUCAGUAUGGCAGCAAGAGGGCGAUGGCGAAUAAGGAAAUAGAGGAUACAUGCAGAGAAAGAAUAGCCCUAUCUGGAGUUGCUGUCUACGCCUAUGGUCCAAAGAGUGUCAGGUGCAAUGUCACACUACAUUGGUCUAAGGGCCAAACUACAUCUGAUUGACUGUUCCUAUGAACUACCACUCUACAUGAAAAUGCACAUCAAAUCCCCUUUUUAAAAAAGCAUCAUACUUUGAUUCAAUGCAGAUAGUGGAGAAGUGGAUGUUCCAUUGUGGCCCCUUUACUGAGCAGCAUCUCAGCAGAAGGGACCUGACAGCCUGAUGGUCCACAUGAAGGACUCAAGCAUCCUGGAAAAUUCCUCGAAUUCUUAACACCUGGGAUAGUGCUGUUGCUGAAUGCCAAAAAAGUAGGAGGUGCAGGGCUCUCAAACUCAUUUUUAAUCUGAGGAACUGUCAAGGAUAUGGUGCUCACUUAAUAAUGCAGCCAAGCAUAUUGAACUGGACAAAUUUGUAUUAUGAACCAGAUAAGUAUAGACUUCAGUGACAUCAGUAAACAGAUUACUGGGUUCAGAUUACGUAAACCUUUAAACGAAUGCUUUGCCAAGUGGUAAUAUACUGUGAUCCUCAACUAGAGGAUGAAGAAUUGAAACUGUCACCAUAUGGACUUGUAAGGUCUGCAUAUUCAUACAGACCAUAGGGCAAAAUACUGUGCACAGAACUUGAAGUAGGGUCAAAACAAUGACGUUGAGCAAAAGCAAUAAACUCUACUUUCUGAAGUAUUUUUUUAAAAAGUUUUCUUACACCCAGAAGGAUUUCCCGAGCUCCUUUUGAGUUUCCUGAAAGAGUUAGAUCUGCCGUGCAGUUAGAUUCAAUGCAUGGACAUCAUGAUAGAGGACUUUGCCUUGACAUUGGGAAAGAAGGCCCGUUGUCCCUAGUAGACACCAAAAGUUUGUUCUACCCAGUGGAGAAAUCUGACACACAAAAUCUGAUGGGACCAAUGUGGGGCAUUGGCAAUGAAACUGUGUUGUGUAUUGGAUUCCAAGGCUUAGUGGAAAUAGUAGGGUAAAAAUAUACACAAGGACUUGAGUAUAUGUCUUAGAAAGCAAGGGCUCAUUACAGGCCCCAAUGCAAGAAAAGGCUGCAUUUUGUAUUCACAGAUAGGCUCAUUUGUGGUUGGCCUGACUUCUGAGAAACAGGUGUUGUGGAUUUAGGAACCUCUCAUAGGCCACAUUGUUUCCUCUGCUCAGGAUAUCUACCACAGCUUGCCGUAUGAAGAGCUGUUACUGAGAUGUUGCUUUGAAGGCUUCAGUCCAAAGCUUGAUAGCCAACUAGCAAAGAGUCUU